GAUGAACGCUGGCGGCGUGCCUAACACAUGCAAGUCGAACGGAGAUUACGGACGGAAGUUUUCGGAUGGAAGCCUGUAAUUCUUAGUGGCGGACGGGUGAGUAACGCGUGGGCAACCUGCCCUAUACAGGGGGAUAGCAGCUGGAAACGGCUGGUAAGACCGCAUAAGUCGGUUAAAUCGCAUGAUUUGAUCGGGAAAUGAGCAAUCAGGUAUAGGAUGGGCCCGCGUCCGAUUAGCCAGUUGGCAGGGUAAAAGCCUACCAAAGCGACGAUCGGUAGCCGGACUGAGAGGCCGGACGGCCACAUUGGGACUGAGACACGGCCCAAACUCCUACGGGAGGCAGCAGUGGGGGAUAUUGCACAAUGGAGGAAACUCUGAUGCAGCGACGCCGCGUGAGUGAAGAAGUAUUUCGGUAUGUAAAGCUCUAUCAGCAGGGAAGAUGAUGACGGUACCUGAAGAAGAAGCCCCGGCUAACUACGUG
rnacentral:rRNA from 1 species